UCUUUUCAUAUCUUACAUUGUUUCCCCGCUUUUAAGAUAAUUCGUAGAGUUUGUUUGGUUGCGCGCUUUAAUUAUGCCAAAGCAAAUGCGUGAGGUACCAUAUCUGGGCCGAUGACGCUAUCUAGCUCCCGCUGGAAGAUAGCUGGGGCUGAAUGCAGCCCAAAUGGAAUUGGAUCGCCAUUGGAAAAGGCCCCGUCCGGCCAUUGUGCUUACAACUGAUCCGUUCCAUGGGGAUCUGCCAGUAUCCGUAAAUUUCGUAAAUCGAUUCUGCUGAUGUACUUUGCUUGAUGUAGCUGGUCGAGGAUGUACUGGAUUCUCAGAAUGGAGUAUGCGUCUGGCUCUGAGCGCUCAUUUAGCUGGCGGUCGUCGACUUGGUGGUCAAUCAUGGAGCCCCAGUUGGGUUUACUACCACCAGCGCUGCACAUCGUGCACUUAGUAAAAUUUUGGUAACCAUAAUGCUAAAUAAAUUACUUUUAAUAGCCAAUUAAUGCCAUUACAGCAAAUCUA